rnacentral:rRNA from 1 species
AUGCUCUGCCUCGGGAGCGGCGGCGGAGACCGGAGCCAGGCGUACGGCGGCGGGCGGGGGGCGCCGACGGGAGGACGCCGAGGCGGGCGGAAGCGCACCGCCUUCGUGCGGCCGUCGGCAUCACCGUGGCCUCACACGGGCGCGGACCAGCAUGGGGUCGUCUUCCCCCGGCCCGCGCCGAUUUGGCCGCCCCUGGCGUACCCCUGCGGGCCUGCAUUCCCCGCGCCCUCACCGGCCCGCCCACCCCCCGCUUCCGCAACACCAACUCCGGUGCCGUCGUCCGCGACUAUCGGUAAGGACCUCGAGGAGAGACCGUUCCCCUUCGUCUUGCCUGCGGCGGAGAAGGCGCCCGCGGUCGCGCCGGUUUCCAGGAAGCAGCUCGCCCGACCUGCCCGUCUCGGGGCCGGAACCGUCGCGAUGAUCCGCCCGAAUCGCAGGCGCCGGGCGGGAGGGCGCGGCGCGCCCACCGGCUUCCCGUCGGCACCGCCAUGGCCUCACGAGGGCGUGCACCAGCACGGCAUCGUCUUAUCCGGGACCGCCGCGACGAUGUGCGCGAACCACCGGCGCCGGGCGAGAGGACGCGGAGGUGGCCGCGUGCCCACCGACUUCCUGUGGCCGCCUCCAGGCGAGUCGGCACCGCCGUGGACACACGAGGGCGCGUGCCAGCAUGGUGUCGUCUUCACCGGGCCCGCGCUGACUCCGUCGGCCCGGGCGUACGCCUACGCGCCCUCUUCUACGCCCUCGCCAGCGGUCACGUCGUCGCAAGCGGGCCUGCCCGCGGCGGAGAAGACGCCCAAGGUUGACACCGCGCUGGUCUCCAACAAGGGCCCUGCCCACCUCUCGCGUCCCGGGGCCAGGAACGUCGGCGCGAACCGCUUGCUCAUCAACGUCGGCUACAACAUUUUACCCUGCUAUUGGUUCUUUUUGUUCCCUGCCAAUAAGUUUCUAAAAUUCUGCCCCUCUCCACUUGUAGAUAUCUUAAGGAAGGUGUGGGAUUUAUCCGACCAGGAUAAGGAUGGGAUGCUGUCCUUCAAGGAAUUUUGUUUUGCUGUGUACUUAAUGGAGAGGUUCCGAGAGCAGCGACCACUUCCUGAUGUAUUACCAGAUGGUAUUUGGGCGGAGGGAAUUUCACUACCCUCUACUGGCCAGUUUGCAGAAAACCCUAGUGGCCUGGCUCCCCAUCCAAGUGCUGGGGUUACAAGUAGAGCAAUGCAAGGACCACAUCCUGAAAUGCCUCCUUCAUCUGUGAAGCGACAACAUCGAAGGCCUCUUCAUUUUGAUGAUGACACUACGCAAACUGAACCACAAAAACCUAAGGUCCCAGCAUUGGAGAAACAUUUGGUUGUCCAGCUUAGCAAAGAGGAACCAAAUGCACUUGAAGCGAAGUUCAAGGAAGCUUCAGAUGCCGAUAAAAAGAUUCUCUACAAGAGUAGGUGUGACAACAGGUUUAACGAAGUCUCAGAAAGUAUGUCUGCUGAUAAGUGUAAGGUUUCUACUAACACAGCGUCAAAAUCAAGGCCUGUAGACAUGCAAGAGGUUCAGUCAAUUACCAACAACCAUUGCUACACCAGCCAGCCUGUUAGAGAGGUGACAAUAUCGUCAUCAUCAUCCUCUAACAGGAUGAUUGGGAUCUCAAAAAUUCAGGUUAUUUUCCGCAUUGGAAAUUUCCGCUCGUUCCCGAUGCAAUUUGAAGACAACUGUACAAUUGAACAGAUCGUGUAUGCGGCUUUUCAAAAACAGAACGUCAAAAUAUCUGAUGCAGUUAUCUGA